GGAGAAGUGAUUGACAGGACAGAGGGACGACUGAAUCCACAGUGGAGACCUCGCCGCCUAAGGAAGGAGGGAGGAGCACACAGGUGAAGGGAGAAAAGAAGUGAAACGCUUUCAGCACCCACGUUUCAGGUCAAAGUGACAUUUUAUUUCUUCGCCCCCACUGCCUAACAGGGUAGGGAUUAUUUCUCGCAUGUUACAGAUGAGGAACUGAAUUCAGGCAGGUGCCCAAGGCUACACGGUGCUUCCUGGCGGAAUGAGGAAUCUAGCUGGAGUCUGGCUUCCUCAAAACCCCUGGCCCCUGUAAACCUGCUGCCUCCAGCCCAGCUCAAAUCAUUGAUAUUCUGAUUGCAGCUCAUCAUAAACGGUAUUUACUCAAGUCCCACUGCUAAGGAUUAUUGAAGGAGAGGAAAAGAUCUUUUGAAAAUACCCUGUAACUCACAUUUUACCUGCCAGAUGGAACAGCCACAUUCCUGCAAAAAGAUCUCUUUGGUGUCUGGCUAACUAGAAGACCACUGGAUUCUGGCAUCGGAUUCUGCCUUGCAAAUUUCUGGCAACAGGCACUGGUCACCUAAGCCUGUUACCUGAGAGCCAUCUUCACUCUACCAAUGAGCGGGUCACCAAGUUCGGCUGAAUAGUCUGCCUGGCUUAUCUUCUGCCUGCAACUCACCAGCCCCAUGUCAGCAUCACGCAGGUGGCCAGUUUUCUUUUACAACUUGGUGGACUCAAAAAGAUGCACAACCUAAAAGUUGAGAGUCAUGUGUUUAUUCAGUGGACAAAACUGAAGCCUUAAACCCAGGAGGCAGCAUCUCAAGCAACCCCAAAACGCCGCUCUGAGGAGGCGAGAGGGAGCCAGGGUGUACAGGGAAGACAGUGGGAACAGAAGAUUCACUGUUAAUAGAGGAAAACCAGAUAUCUCAAGUUAAGGAAUUUAGUGAUUUUCUCCAAAUGGGAAGAUGCAACAUUCUGGGCUCACUGAGAUCUUUGCUGUGCACCUCGGGUCUCUGGGGCCAGGGUCCUGUGUUCUCACAUCCUGGGGAGUGGCUGCAGUCUGAUGGCUGCUGGACAGCAGGUGUCUAUGCUUCCUUCCUGCCUCCCUCAGGGCUCCCCUGGAGGUGGCUGCCAUCGCUGAUGACUGAGACAUCUUUGUUUACGGAUAAGGCAGGCGCUAUUUUAUGUCUCAGGUACCAAGUGGGACCCCCAAGUCUGGCUAACCCUGACUUCACGUGUUCUCAGGGUGUGGGUUACAAUCUUACGGGUCUUGGGUGUCUAAGCCUCACCCAACAGCAUCACAGGGUGGAGCGUUGCGGAGGGGAUGGCAGAGAGAAAAGGGACCAAGGAACAUUCCAUCAGCUUCCACCUGUGCUGCACUCAAGCUCUU
rnacentral:lncRNA from 1 species